rnacentral:misc_RNA from 1 species
GAUGAAGAACGGCAGUGAAAUGCGAUAAGUAAUGUGAAUUGCAGAAUUCAGUGAAUCAUCGAAUCUUUGAACGCACCUUGCACCCUUUGGCAUUCCGAAGGGUAUGCUCGUUUGAGUGUCAUUGUACUCUCACUCUCCCGAUGCUUUUGGAUCGGGAGUGGUGGACUUGGGUGUUGCUGCUUUGCUGUGGCUCGCCUCAAAUGGAGUAGUGCAACUCUUGGUUGGACAUAGUACGGCGUGAUAAGUGUCUUCGCCGGCGCCUCAUUAUAGAGGGUGGCCGAUCGGGAGCUCUGUGCUUCAAACCGUCUUCGGACAACAUCUGACAACUUGACCUCAAAUCGAGUAGGACUACCCGCUGAACUUAAGCAUAUCAAUAAGCGGAGGA